rnacentral:rRNA from 1 species
GGAGCAACCAGGAUUAGAUACCCUUGGUUAGUCCACCCCCUUAACCGAUGUNCAUUAGUUGUUGUGAGGCUCGCCNUGGCAGUAAUGCAGUUANCCCCAUUAAAGUGUACCGCCUGGGGAGUACGGUCGCAAGAUUAAAACUCAAAGGAAUAGACGGGGACCCGCACAAGCGGUGGAGCAUGUGGUUUAAUUCGACGAUACACGAAGAACCUUACCUGGACUUGACAUAGUAAGAACUUUCUAGAGAUAGAUUGGUGUCUGCUUGCAGAAACUUAUAUACAGGUGCUGCACGGCUGUCGUCAGCUCGUGUCGUGAGAUGUUGGGUUAAGUCCCGCAACGAGCGCAACCCUCGUCAUUAGUUGCUAACAGUUCGGCUGAGAACUCUAAUGAGACUGCCUACGCAAGUAGGAGGAAGGUGAGGACGACGUCAAGUCAUCAUGGCCCUUACGUCCAGGGCUACACACGUGCUACAAUGGGGUAUACAAAGAGCAGCAAUACGGUGACGUGGAGCAAAUCUCAAAAAUAUCUCCCAGUUCGGAUUGUAGUCUGCAACUCGACUACAUGAAGUUGGAAUCGCUAGUAAUCGUAGAUCAGCUAUGCUACGGUGAAUACGUUCCCGGGUCUUGUACUCACCGCCCGUCACACCAUGGGAGUUGAACUCAUUCGAAGCGGGGAUGCUAAAGUAGCUACCUUCCACAGUGGAUUCAGCGACUGGGGUGAAGUCGUAACAAGGUAACC